AUUGAACGCUGGCGGCAUGCUUUACACAUGCAAGUCGAACGGUAACAGGUCUUCGGAUGCUGACGAGUGGCGAACGGGUGAGUAAUGCAUCGGAACGUGCCCAGUCGUGGGGGAUAACGCAGCGAAAGCUGUGCUAAUACCGCAUACGAUCUAUGGAUGAAAGCAGGGGGACCGCAAGGGCCUUGCGCUCAUGGAGCGGCCGAUGGGCAGAUUAGGUAGUUGGUGGGAUAAAAGCUUACCAAGCCGACGAUCUGUAGCUGGUCUGAGAGGACGACCAGCCACACUGGGACUGAGACACGGCCCAGACUCCUACGGGAGGCAGCAGUGGGGAAUUUUCCGCAAUGGCGAAAGCCUGACGGAGCAAUACCGCGUGAGGGAAGAAUGCCUAUGGGUUGUAAACCGU
rnacentral:rRNA from 1 species